rnacentral:misc_RNA from 1 species
CACAUGGAUUGGAAGAGGAUCCACUACAUGGCUCUCCCUCUUUCAGACACUUGGAUUCAAGCCAAUUGGAAAAAACCUCAGUUCAACUUAAACUGCACUGAGGGAGCCCCAAGCAACAAAAAGAUAGAAUUCUUGGAGGUUAGCCAACUAAUGGAACCCAUAUUUGAACAUAAGGUGUAGUUGUGGAAAGUCACCAAAAAUAAGCAUUCCACCAACUGAUUGGAGUCAACAACUCAAUAAACUAUCUAGUCUACAUUAAUAGAUUAUAAAAUCCCAGACCCACUCUCCGCAGAACCUUUCAAACACGUGCAGUGGGUAGAAAUGAAGAACAUUGGUAGAUAAUUUUCGUGUCUUCUCACUCAAGUUGCUAUCUUGAGAAGUUAGAAAAGCUGUAAUUUAAUAUACAAAACUUACAAUGGUAUUAUUCCAUUUACAUCGCAGUAAAGGGCCAAACAAAUAUCUGACAAAGUUUAACUAUUCACAUUUGUGAAAACUAAAUUAAGUGAGAAAAUAAUUAUGAAGUUCAUUUACUCAUCCGUUACCCCAAAAAAGAAAUUUCAUUUGCUCUUCACCUACAAGGCAUGAUAUAAGCUGCACAUUUAUUCUUCUCUAUAUAGUGAAAAGAACACAAUUAACAUAGGAAAGUUCCUCCAAAAAAAUAGGAAGGACGAAAAUAAAAAUAAAUAAAUAAAUCAAACAAGCCAAGAAGUUGCCACCUAUAAACCUCAAUAUUGGAGCAGACACAUACAGUCCUCAAAUAGAUUAAACAAACAAAGAAAAAGAAGAAGUAAACAAACCCCGAAUUAAUCAGGAUUGAACACAAAUCAAAGAAGAGAAAUUCCAAGUGACCGAUUGGGUUUUUGGAGUUGGAACGAAAAUUAUGCUACAGAGAAAACAAGCUGCGAAACGAAUUCAAAAAAUCUCACAUUUACUGUAGUCAAAUUCCACAAAUUCAAUUCAAGGACCCAAAAUGAAUCAAAGAAAAAUUGAGAGAACCGACAUUUACAAAUUUCAAAAGUUCGUUAUCGCCAACAAAAAAAAGAAAGACAGAAUUGCAACAAGAAUUUCCAAUCGCACACGUAAGAAGAAAACCUGUUUGAUGAAGAACCACAGAGA